UACAGAGGUCCCGAGCGUUAGGCGGAAUCACUGGGCUUAAAGCGUGUGUAGGUGGAUCGUUAAGUACCUUGUGAAAUCCCACGGCUCACCCGUGGAACUGCUCGGUAUACUGGUCGUCUUGAGCCUUCUAGGGGCGAGUGGAACAAAUGGUGGAGCGGUGAAAUGCGUAGAUAUCAUUUGGAACGCCAAUGGUGAAAACAACUCGCUGGGGAAGUGCUGACGCUGAGACACGAAAGCCAGGGGAGCGAACGGG
rnacentral:rRNA from 1 species